AACAAGGCUCAAAAAUAAUAAAAAAUUUGCAGUCCAGGAUUCCUGAACCAACGAGGAAAGCCUGGCGCUUUCGAAAAGUGGGGUCACUUUUCGCUCGUGAGUGCGAUAUAAUUUACAUUUAAAAGCCGGCAAAACCCCACGAAAACCCGUCGUAUGGCAAUAAAACUUGGUAUGGUUUGUUUUCAAGUCCGAAACUACUGAUAUAUUGGUAUAAACCCAGAAAUUAAACACGAAGGCGCGGUAUAAAAGGGUGCUUCCAUUGGAAGCAUCAGCUCAUUUGUCAACUCUACCUUCUAGUCCGAUAGAAUGUGUAAAAAAGGAAACUCAGUAGAAAUAAAGCUACGGAACCAACGUGAUUUAUGCAAAAAAGGAGCAAACGCAUGAUAGGAAAACAACGAUUUCAAACCUCGACAAAAGUUAUACCCAAGAAGCAAGUCAUGGUGACAUCUGAAUAAUCAACAAGAUAUAUUCCUGAAGAAAAAGCAGAUACAUAGACAUGUAUUACAUUUUCCAUGUGAUUUUAAAUCAUAAACAUUCCUUUGUAAAGGAAACAUGUUUUGUUGCUAAAAGAUUGAUUGAUGUGUUAGUGAAGUGUAUAAAGCAACCAGUCAUAUUUUAUAAACUGCAUUAUAGAUUAUACUUUUGAAUAAACCAAAAAGCUUUCUCUUUUA